UUUGAAAGGGAAACGAUUGAAGUCAGUCGUACCGGCGGGUAAUCAGCCUUUUGGGCGUGAUUAUGUGGGGCGUGAGGAGUUAAUACCCUCAUCUUUGCAUAUUCGUGCACUUUGGGUGUACUUGCUCGUGUGGUAGGUUAACAUCAAUUUUGAUUAUCAUAAAAUGAUUGAAGGAAUGUAGCUUCGAUCUUGUAUUGAAGUGUUAUAGCCUUUGGUAGAUGUGAUGAUCGAGAUUGAGGAUUGCAACGGAUACCCUUCGGGCUACCUGUCUGAUCUCUGAAAGUUGCUCUGGUGCUGAAAGCUUGCUUAUGGUAUCAAAGUGACGUCAAUAGUG
rnacentral:rRNA from 1 species